UUAUACUCAUAACUGCAUAGCGUGCAUAAAAGUAAAAUAAGAUAUAGCUGAAGUCACAAGCUGAAACAAGAAUUCGUCUCCGUAUGGACAAAAAUCCUUCCAUGGACGCAACAAAAAGACCACCCAACACUAGUUUAUGACUCUUUAUAGAUGUGUGCAUCAUUAAGAACAAUUUCUGAAUCGGUAACGGUGCUAUAUACCAAAGAGUGUCAUAUCUAAAGAUUAAACAAACAAUGCAUUAAUAUUUCUACCGAAGAUCAAAUAUUAAAACCUGUGAGUAUGAAACAUUAAAUAAGAAAAUAGCCGCAGCUCAUGGCAGAUACUCGCGAUGAUACAUGUCAUGGGAGACAGACA